GAUGAACGCUGGCGGCGUGCCUAACACAUGCAAGUCGAGCGAACGGACGAGAAGCUUGCUUUUCUGAUGUUAGCGGCGGACGAGUGAGUAACACGUGGAUAACCUACCUAUAAGACUGGGAUAACUUCGGGAAACCGGAGCUAAUACCGGAUAAUAUUUUGAACCGCAUGGUUCAAAAGUGAAAGACGGUCUUGCUGUCACUUAUAGAUGGAUCCGCGCUGCAUUAGCUAGUUGGUAAGGUAACGGCUUACCAAGGCAACGAUGCGUAGCCGACCUGAGAGGGUGAUCGGCCACACUGGAACUGAGACACGGUCCAGACUCCUACGGGAGGCAGCAGUAGGGAAUCUUCCGCAAUGGGCGAAAGCCUGACGGAGCAACGCCGCGUGAGUGAUGAAGGUCUUCGGAUCGUAAAACUCUGUUAUUAGGGAUGAACAUAUGUGUAAGUAACUGUGCACAUCUUGACGGUACCUAAUCAGAAAGCCACGGCUAACUACGUG
rnacentral:rRNA from 1 species